rnacentral:lncRNA from 1 species
CUCAGUUUGUCUCUCUAUCGCUUUCCCAGAACACAUCUACAUCUGCCCGACGCGUUUCUCCUCAACCAUGGGCCCUUGCCCGCGGUGCGAACUGCUUCACGCGCCGCCACGUGCGAGAACCAAGCUCUGCUCCUGAAGUGAUGGGGGCUCUGCUCUGCCAGGGAUCAUCGUUUCAACAGAUUGCCAAGUAGAGCCCAGGAGCCCUGCCCCCUGCUUUCCUCCUUCCUCGUUUCACAAUGUCUUUUUCAGCAAAGAUGCCUUUCCAGACAUUUCUUUACAUGUCUGAAAUAUUUAUACACAAAACUGGGGAAGAUGAAUUAAAA